rnacentral:rRNA from 1 species
CAGCCGCCGCGGUAAUACGAAGGGGGCUAGCGUUGCUCGGAAUGACUGGGCGUAAAGGGCGCGUAGGCGGCUUGUACAGUCAGAUGUGAAAUUCCUGGGCUUAACCUGGGGGCUGCAUUUGAUACGUGCGGGCUAGAAUGUGAAAGAGGGUCGUGGAAUUCCCAGUGUAGAGGUGAAAUUUGUAGAUAUUGGGAAGAACACCGGUGGCGAAGGCGGCGACCUGGUCCUUGACUGACGCUGAGGCGCGAAAGCGUGGGGGGCAAACAGGAUUAGAGACCCCGGUAGUCCCUGUCUCUUAUAA